CUUAAAAUGUAUGGCUUGGAGGAAAGACGAGAUGGGGGGAUAGGAUCAUGAGCGUAGGAACCCAAAAAAAUCUGGGGGAGGAUAGCAUUUUUACUCGCCGGGUAUAUUCUUAUUCUGUAAACUAGGAGUUGUUUAUCCCAUUGUACAGCGCUACAGAAUUUGCAGUCGCUAUAUAAAUGAUUAAAUAAUAACUUUAAAGGAUCACUACAGGGAAGGGAUUUUACUUACCUGGAUACAGCGCCGGGAUCCUCCUGAUGCCGCGCCCCCUAUUUCGUCAAAAUGACUUAAUAGGAGGGUGCGAGCAGGGAGCAAUAAAACGCUUCUAUUCAGAAGCGUCAUUGCUCUCUGGUGCGCAUGCGCAGCUUUGCCGCACAUGCACAGAUACUUCAUAGGGUGGCAUUCAUGUCUCGACUAGGAAGCACCUCUAGUGGCCAUCUGAGUGUCCACUAGAGGUAUUCCUCAUCAGUAAUGUAAAUACUGCCUUUUUACAAAAUGGCUGUGCUUACAUUAAAAAGCCUGCAAAGACAUGCUAUAGACACCAGAACUACUACGUUUAGCUGUUGUGGUUCUGGUGACUAUAGCGUCCCUUGAACAUAGAGAGGAAAAAAGAAUCAUCACAAAUGUAAGAAAUAGGAUGAUGAUGGGCUCUAGCUGCAGUCUGGCUCCACUGGUCUGGUGUAGAACAGGCUCUCUGGAGGCUGUUUGUAACUGAGGUCACGAAAAUCAAUGUUCUGCGAGAACGGGAAGCAGCUCCAUUUUUUGGGGGCCAUUUACACAGCUCAAGGUCUGGGUCCAGGGUCCACCUUCAUGUUCCACCAAUGAGUUUGUUCACAGGGGGUGGAGUGUGUAGGGGAUGUCCUGAUAUGUGUGUAAGGAAUGCACUGUGUGAAUCUGUGUUUGUAUGUGUAAGGGCUGCAAGGUGUGUUUCUGUGUAUGUACGGGAUGCAGUGUGUGCGUGUGUAAGGGGUGCAUUGAGUGUGUGUACGGGGUGCAUUUAGUGUGUGUAAGGAAUGCAUUGUGUGUUUCUGUGUGUGUAAG